GGCUCCAUAGUGUAGUGGUUAGCACAUCUGCUUUACACGCAGAAGGUCCUGAGUUUGCGCCCCAGAUAGAGCUA
rfam:Pteropus alecto contig76187, whole genome shotgun sequence.